GGGUCAGUAGGUUGGUCGUGCCACCGGUACGUACUGGUCUCACUGAUUCCUCCUUCCUGAAUAACCGUAAUGCCUUUAAUUUGGUGUUGCGGGGAAACAGGACUGUUACUUUGAAAAAAUUAGAGUGUUUAAAGCAAGCUAACGCUUGAAUACAUUAGCAUGGAAUAAUGAAAUAGGACUAUCGAUCCUAUUUUGUUGGUUUCUAGGAUUGACGUA
rnacentral:rRNA from 1 species